GAGAGAGGCCCGAGGCACUGGUGACUGCUAAUCCUCCAGCCCCAUGGUAAACUCCACGGCUCACUCG
rnacentral:tRNA from 1 species